rnacentral:sRNA from 1 species
CCCGAAAAAAAAAAAGGUAAGCAGCGG